CACAGGGCUUCUCAGCUGUUUUUUAGAGGGUCAUUUGCAGUACACCUUAUCAGAGGUCUCAAACUAUGCUUAAAAAUUGCCUGAGGACUUUGUUAAAAAUGUACAUUUUACCUGCAUUUUUAACCACUGAUAUAGUAGUCUCCAUCUUUAAUAAGUGGUUUUUAAUUACACUAAGGCUUGAUGCCCGCUGAUCUGUAGGGUCACAGAGGGAACUCUCUUAGCUCAACCCAAAGAUUCAGGUCUGACCCUUUAGUUGAGUGUGGUUGGCAUGUGCCUGUAGUCCCAGCUACUCAGGAG
rnacentral:lncRNA from 1 species